rnacentral:rRNA from 1 species
UACGUAGGUGACAAGCGUUGUCCGGAUUUACUGGGCGUAAAGAGCGCGCAGGCGGUCGUUCAAGUCGAGUGUGAAAGCCCCCGGCUCAACUGGGGAGGGUCACUCGAUACUGAUCGACUCGAAGGCAGGAGAGGGAAGUGGAAUUCCCGGUGUAGUGGUGAAAUGCGUAGAUAUCGGGAGGAACACCAGUGGCGAAGGCGACUACCUGGCCUGUUCUUGACGCUGAGGCGGCGAAAGC